GUAAAUAAAGAAUUUAUGGUCCACUUUUUAGUGUGCACUAAAAUCUUUAUUUCCUUCCUUUUGAAUUUUUUAUAAAAUUCAAAUCGUUUACUGUGAAGAAAUUAGAGUGUUCAAAGCAGGCGUAACCUAGCCUUUGAAUAUAUUAGCAUGGGAUAAUGAAAUAGGACUUUGGUUCUACUUUCGUUGGUUUCUAGGGCUAAAGUA
rnacentral:rRNA from 1 species